rnacentral:rRNA from 1 species
CAGCCGCCACGGGAAUACGAAGGGGGCUAGCGUUGUUCGGAUUUACUGGGCGUAAAGCGCACGUAGGCGGACUUUUAAGUCAGGGGUGAAAUCCCGGGGCUCAACCCCGGAACUGCCUUUGAUACUGGGAGUCUUGAGUUCGAGAGAGGUGAGUGGAAUUGCGAGUGUAGAGGUGAAAUUCGUAGAUAUUCGCAGGAACACCAGUGGCGAAGGCGGCUCACUGGCUCGAUACUGACGCUGAGGUGCGAAAGCGUGGGGAGCAAACAGGAUUAGAUACCCGUGUAGUCCCUGUCUCUUAUAC